rnacentral:lncRNA from 1 species
UUUAUAAAUAUCAAAUUAUUUUUCAUUUGCUUAGAUUUAUUUUCAUUAAUUAAAGACGGAAAUUUCUUUAUGAAUUAGGACAAAAGAAGAGACCCGAGAUACUUUAUCCUCAACAAGCGAUGCUCAAAUUCCAAUAUCUACGGGAGUGAUAAUAGGAUGAAAAUUUCGCCCAAGAAUAAAGCAGAAAGAAAGCAAUGCCUUAUUUGAGUGUAGAGUCGACUCUCUCCUUUGGUUUGAAUCUAUCCAUCCAUAUUUAACAAUGAAUAUAUUCAACGGAUGAAAACGUAGAGAAAGGAAUUAUUUCUCUAUAGUUGAAACUAUGAAGGUACUACAACAAUGAUAAGUUAUAAUCAUAAAACGUUUAUGUUCUUCAAGAAUUAGGACAAAAGGAAGAUACUUCUAACAUGAUCAUUCAUCUCAAGAGAUGAUCUUAGUCUUAUUCGGAACUACGUAUUCCACGAGAGACCACGGGAUGAAAAAUCAUCCGAUAAUGAGUUAUAAUGGUCUUAAGAAGAGUUUCGUUUUUCAUCAUUUUUCACCCUAAAAAUGGAAAUAUGUCGAGUUGAGAAGAGGAUACAGAAUAAAUAAAAACAA